GCUGGCGGCAGGCCUAACACAUGCAAGUCGAGCGCGAAAGCACUUCGGUGUGAGUAAAGCGGCGGACGGGUGAGUAACGCGUAGGAAUCUACCUAGUAGUGGGGGACAACUCGGGGAAACUCGAGCUAAUACCGCAUACGCCCUACGGGGGAAAGCGGGGGACCUUCGGGCCUCGUGCUAUUAGAUGAGCCUGCGUUGGAUUAGCUAGUUGGUGGGGUAAAGGCCUACCAAGGCGACGAUCCAUAGCUGGUCUGAGAGGAUGAUCAGCCACACCGGGACUGAGACACGGCCCGGACUCCUACGGGAGGCAGCAGUGGGGAAUAUUGCGCAAUGGGCGAAAGCCUGACGCAGCCAUGCCGCGUGUGUGAAGAAGGCCUUCGGGUUGUAAAGCACUUUCAAUUGGGAGGAAAGGUUCACGGUUAAUAACCGUGAGCUGUGACGUUACCUUUAGAAGAAGCACCGGCUAACUCCGUGCCAGCAGCCGCGGUAAUACGGAGGGUGCAAGCGUUAAUCGGAAUUACUGGGCGUAAAGCGCGCGUA
rnacentral:rRNA from 1 species